GGAGCCGGGCCCAAGACAGAGGUCUCGACCGCGGUGUGGUGAACACAUGGAGGGGGCGGGCUUGGGAUUAGACUGGCAACCUGUGAGCCCAGGACUCCUGGACUUCAUGAUUCCAAGAUUCUCUGGUUCUGUGUUUGACAUUCCAGAAUUCUUCAACACAAAAAGCCCACGGAUAUCCCAAUACAUUUACGAUCCCCAACCUCAACACUGCCCUUCAUCCCUCCCUUCAGAGCCUCCGUUUCCUUGCUUACGAAGUGGGGAUAGUCAACACCUUCCUUGCAGAGCAGCCAUGGAGCUGAGAGCUGGUGCGCGGUCACCAUCUGCUGAGACAGGGAGUCAAGCCACGGAUCGUGUCUGUUUUGCUCACUUCUUUUACCCAAGUCCUAAGGCAUUUGGAGUCAUGCAUAACUCACAUCAGGCUUUCAUGGGAAAAGGUUUCCACAGCUGCGAAAACAGGAAAAUCUAAGAUUCUGCCAUUCAGCAGCAGGCUCCAAAUGGCAGAGUCAUCUCUUCAGCAAACAUUUCCCGAGGCCGUUACCUCGCUGGGUUACCACCAGGGAUGUUACUCGAAUAAUCACAAAGAGGGAUCUAUUAACGGUGGCGGUGGCAGCGUGGCACGAAAGCACAAGACUGGGUCACCCCGGCGGGUCUCAACCCCACCUCCGGCUCCACCCACGCCUGGCCUCCGCGGGGAAGUCCAAGGUCGCCUCUUCACCCAUCUUCCUGCCCCACUCUGGCCUUUACAGUCCAUACUCCAUGGAGCGAUUUUAUAAAGCACAAAUCAGAAGACACUCAGCCCCACCCCACCCACCCCCGGCUCUGAAGUUACACCCUGUGUCUGGUAGGACAUCCAAACUCCUUCCCACUUUGGCCAGCGCUGGGUGAGCCCAGGGCCUUUGGUCUGGUGAUGCCGUCUGUUGGGACGGCCCUUCUCCUGCAUCUUCAAGUAGCUGCUCCCUUCUUGUGGUUCAGGGGUAGAUGUCACCUACUGCCAAGAAACUGGUAACACUGGGGCCUCUCCGGAGGACGACUGCAAAGCUGGGCACAAGGGAGGAAGGCAAGGAGAAGCACUUUUGACUGUGACAUUGUGCAUUGCUUGAUUCUGGGCCA